GAUGAAGAACGUAGCGAAAUGCGAUAAGAAAUGUGAAUUGCAGAAUUCAGUGAAUCAUCGAAUCUUUGAACGCACAUUGCGCCCGUCAGUAUUCUGGCGGGCAUGCCUGUUCGAGCGUCAUUACGCCCCUCAAGUCCCCUGUGGACUUGGUGUUGGGGAUCGGCGAGGCUGGUUUUCCAGCACAGCCGUCCCUUAAAUUAAUUGGCGGUCUCGCCGUGGCCCUCCUCUGCGCAGUAGUAAAACACUCGCAACAGGAGCCCGGCGCGGUCCACUGCCGUAAAACCCCCCAACUUUUUAUAGUUGACCUCGAAUCAGGUAGGACUACCCGCUGAACUUAAGCAUAUCAAUAAGCGGAGGA
rnacentral:misc_RNA from 1 species